rnacentral:rRNA from 1 species
UACGGGGGGAGCAAGCGUUGUUCGGAUUUACUGGGCGUAAAGGGCGCGUAGGCGGCGCAACAAGUCACUUGUGAAAUCUCCGGGCUUAACCCGGAGCGGCCAAGUGAUACUGUCGUGCUAGAGUGCGGAAGGGGCUACUGGAAUUCUCGGUGUAGCGGUGAAAUGCGUAGAUAUCGAGAGGAACACCGGUGGCGAAGGCGGGACUCUGGGCCGAUACUGACGCUGAGGAGCGAAAGUGUGGGGAGCGAACAGG